rnacentral:rRNA from 1 species
UAGGGAAUCUUCCACAAUGGACGAAAGUCUGAUGGAGCAACGCCGCGUGAGUGAUGAAGGGUUUCGGCUCGUAAAACUCUGUUGUUGGAGAAGAACAGGUGUGAGAGUAACUGUUCACAUCUUGACGGUAUCCAACCAGAAAGCCACGGCUAACUACGUGCCAGCAGCCGCGGUAAUACGUAGGUGGCAAGCGUUGUCCGGAUUUAUUGGGCGUAAAGCGAGCGCAGGCGGUUUCUUAGGUCUGAUGUGAAAGCCUUCGGCUUAACCGGAGAAGUGCAUCGGAAACCAGAGACUUGAGUGCAGAAGAGGACAGUGGAACUCCAUGUGUAGCGGUGAAAUGCGUAGAUAUAUGGAAGAACACCAGUGGCGAAGGCGGCUGUCUGGUCUGUAACUGACGCUGAGGCUCGAAAGCAUGGGUAGCGAACAGGAUUAGAUACCCU